CCCAGGCCAAAAAAAAAAAUAUGUGGGUUUCCGGUUUCUUCUUAUAAAAAACUUAGCUUACUUAGGUAGGGUAGGUCGGUUUCAACUUUUUUUUUUUAAACUUUUUUUUUAAUUUUCCGAACAACCGGACGCCAUUUUGUUUAGUCGGUGCUUCCACAUCCAAAGAUAAAUUUCCUUACUAUUGCCUCAAAUUUCAAUUUUCCACAAACUUUUUCCUCUAAGUGGAAACACUUACAAGCAUGAUCCAAUAAAAAAGUUUAGGGUCGGGAUUUCGACGUCCAAAAGCUAGGUAGGGUCGGGAAACCGGAAACCCACAUAUUUUUUUUUUGGCCCCACGAAAACACGAUUUCAGCCAUAUUUUGCCGUCUUGUUUGCUUUUUAUUGCCGAAUCUCGCAAAU